rnacentral:rRNA from 1 species
UACGUAGGCAGCGAGCGUUGUUCGGAGUUACUGGGCGUAAAGGGUGCGUAGGCGGUUGUUUAAGUUUGGUGUGAAAUUUCCCGGCUCAACUGGGAGGGUGCGCCGAAUACUGAAUGACUAGAGUGCGGGAGAGGAUAGUGGAAUUCCUGGUGUAGCGGUGAAAUGCGUAGAUAUCGCUUGGAACGCCAAAGGUGAAAACAGGUUGCUGGGGUUGUGCCGACGCUGAGACACGAAAGCCAGGGGAGCAAACGGG